UCUCCUUAUCGUCAUCGAUUCGUUUCUUCUCUCCAUUUCUAUCCACCGCCGACUUUUAAAACCAAAAGAAGAAGCGAAAGUCUCUGUCUUUUGUUUUUGUCUUUGUUCUUUGUCUCUGUCUCUGUCUGAUGGUUAUUGUCAGAAGAAGAAGAGAAAGCUCUGAUCUUUUCUCUGUCGGAUUUUGAAAAAACAAAGAGAGAAGCCUUUGUUACCGUUGCGAAAAAUAGAAUCACUCGAAAACAGAGAAGAAAAGAGACAACAUUGGAGAAUUCAUACAUCAAAGACUGGUUAUUUAAAAAUGGUGUUUUUUUGGCUUUUUACUCCAAAUGUGUGCAAUUGAUGUGUAUAUAUAAUGAGAUCCUUUGGGUCUGGUUCUCGAGUAAAGCCUACGGCGAG
rnacentral:lncRNA from 1 species